CCGCGGUAAUACGGAGGGUGCAAGCGUUAUCCGGAUUUAUUGGGUUCAAGGGUCCGUAGGCGGAUUUGUAAGUCAGUGGUGAAAUCUCACAGCUUAACUGUGAAACUGCCAUUGAUACUGCAAGUCUUGAGUGUUGUUGAAGUAGCUGGAAUAAGUAGUGUAGCGGUGAAAUGCAUAGAUAUUACUUAGAACACCAAUUGCGAAGGCAGGUUACUAAGCAACAACUGACGCUGAUGGACGAAAGCGUGGGGAGCGAACAGGAUUAGAUACCCUGGUAGUCCACGCCGUAAACGAUGCUAACUCGUUUUUGGGCUUUCGGGUUCAGAGACUAAGCGAAAGUGAUAAGUUAGCCACCUGGGGAGUACGAACGCAAGUUUGAAACUCAAAGGAAUUGACGGGGGCCCGCACAAGCGGUGGAUUAUGUGGUUUAAUUCGAUGAUACGCGAGGAACCUUACCAAGGCUUAAAUGGGAAAUGACAGGUUUAGAAAUAGACUUUUCUUCGGACAUUUUUCAAGGUGCUGCAUGGUUGUCGUCAGCUCGUGCCGUGAGGUGUUAGGUUAAGUCCUGCAACGAGCGCAACCCCUGUCACUAGUUGCCAUCAUUAAGUUGGGGACUCUAGUGAGACUGCCUACGCAAGUAGAGAGGAAGGUGGGGAUGACGUCAAAUCAUCACGGCCCUUACGCCUUGGGCCACACACGUAAUACAAUGGCCGGUACAGAGGGCAGCUACACAGCGAUGUGAUGCAAAUCUCGAAAGCCGGUCUCAGUUCGGAUUGGAGUCUGCAACUCGACUCUAUGAAGCUGGAAUCGCUAGUAAUCGCGCAUCAGCCAUGGCGCGGUGAAUACGUUCCCGGGCCUUGUACACACCGCCCGUCAAGCCAUGGAAGUCUGGGGUACCUGAAGUCGGU
rnacentral:rRNA from 1 species